rnacentral:rRNA from 1 species
AAUAGAUACCCUGGUAGUCCAUGCCGUAAACGUUGGGCGCUAGAUGUGGGGACCAUUCCACGGUUUCCGUGUCGCAGCUAACGCAUUAAGCGCCCCGCCUGGGGAGUACGGCCGCAAGGCUAAAACUCAAAGGAAUUGACGGGGGCCCGCACAAGCGGCGGAGCAUGCGGAUUAAUUCGAUGCAACGCGAAGAACCUUAUCAAGGCUUGACAUAUACGAGAACGCUCUAGAAAUAGAGAACUCUUUGGACACUCGUAUACAGGUGGUGCAUGGUUGUCGUCAGCUCGUGUCGUGAGAUGUUGGGUUAAGUCCCGCAACGAGCGCAACCCUCGUUCUAUGUUGCCAGCGGUUCGGCCGGGAACUCAUAGGAGACUGCCGGGGUCAACUCGGAGGAAGGUGGGGAUGACGUCAAAUCAUCAUGCCCCUUAUGUCUUGGGCUUCACGCAUGCUACAAUGGCCGGUACAAAGGGCUGCAAUACCGUAAGGUGGAGCGAAUCCCAAAAAGCCGGUCUCGAGUUCGGAUUGAGGUCUG